CAAUAGCGUAUAUUAAAGUUGUUGCGGUUAAAAAGCUCGUAGUUGGAUUUCUGUUGGGAACGACCGGUCCGCCCAUUGGGUGUGUAUCUGGCUUGUUCUCGGCAUCUUCUUGGUGAACGUUGCUGCACUUGACUGUGUGGAGCGCUACCCAGGACUUUUACUUUGAGGAAAUUAGAGUGUUUCAAGCAGGCAUAUGCCUUGAAUACAUUAGCAUGGAAUAAUAAGAUAGGACCUCGGUUCAAUUUUGUUGGUUUCUAGAGCUGAGGUAAUGAUUAAUAGGGAUAGUUGGGGGCAUUCGUAUUUAACUGUCAGAGGCGAAAUUCUUGGAUUUGUUAAAGACGGACUACUGCGAAAGCAUUUGCCAAGGAUGUUUUCAUUGA
rnacentral:rRNA from 1 species